rnacentral:rRNA from 1 species
GACGAACGCUGGCGGCGUGCUUAACACAUGCAAGUCGAACGGAAAGGCCCUGCUUUUGUGGGGUGCUCGAGUGGCGAACGGGUGAGUAACACGUGAGUAACCUGCCCUUGACUUUUGGAUAACUUCAGGAAACUGGGGCUAAUACCGGAUAGGAGCUCCUGCUGCAUGGUGGGGGUUGGAAAGUUUCGGCGGUUGGGGAUGGACUCGCGGCUUAUCAGCUUGUUGGUGGGGUAGUGGCUUACCAAGGCUUUGACGGGUAGCCGGCCUGAGAGGGUGACCGGCCACAUUGGGACUGAGAUACGGCCCAGACUCCUACGGGAGGCAGCAGGGGGGAAUAUUGCACAAUGGGCGGAAGCCUGAUGCAGCAACGCCGCGUGCGGGAUGACGGCCUUCGGGUUGUAAACCGCUUUCGCCUGUGACGAAGCGUGAGUGACGGUAAUGGGUAAAGAAGCACCGGCUAACUACGUG